UACGUAGGCAGCGAGCGUUGUUCGGAAUUACUGGGCGUAAAGAGCGUGUAGGCGGUGUUCCCAGUCUGUUGUGAAAUCUCCCGGCUUAACUGGGAGGGUGCAGCGGAAACUAGAAUGCUAGAGGGUGGGAGAGGUAAGCGGAAUUCCUGGUGUAGCGGUGAAAUGCGUAGAUAUCAGGAGGAACACCUGUGGUGUAGACAGCUUACUGGACCACUACUGACGCUGAGACACGAAAGCGUGGGUAGCAAACAGG
rnacentral:rRNA from 1 species